UACGGAGGGUGCAAGCGUUAUCCGGAUUUACUGGGUUUAAAGGGUGCGUAGGUGGAUUGGUAAGUCAGUGGUGAAAUACUUUCGCUUAACGAAGGAACUGCCAUUGAUACUAUCAAUCUUGAAUGUAGUGGAGGUAGGCGGAAUGCGUCAUGUAGCGGUGAAAUGCUUAGAUAUGACGCAGAACACCAAUUGCGAAGGCAGCUUGCUACGCUACUAUUGACACUGAGGCACGAAAGCGUGGGGAUCAAACAGG
rnacentral:rRNA from 1 species